UAGCGUUGUCCGGAAUUAUUGGGCGUAAAGAGCGUGUAGGCGGUUCGGUAAGUCUGCCGUGAAAACCUGGGGCUCAACCCCGGGCGUGCGGUGGAUACUGCCGGGCUAGAGGGUGGUAGAGGCGAGUGGAAUUCCUGGUGUAGCGGUGAAAUGCGCAGAUAUCAGGAGGAACACCGAUUGCGAAGGCAGCUCGCUGGAACGUUACUGACGCUGAGACGCGAAAGCGUGGGGAGCAAACAGG
rnacentral:rRNA from 1 species